rnacentral:rRNA from 1 species
GACGAACGCUGGCGGCGUGCUUAACACAUGCAAGUCGAACGGAAAGGCCCUGCUUUUGUGGGGUGCUCGAGUGGCGAACGGGUGAGUAACACGUGAGUAACCUGCCCUUGACUAUGGGAUAACUUCAGGAAACUGGGGCUAAUACCGGAUAGGAGCUCCUGCUGCAUGGUGGGGGUUGGAAAGUUUCGGCGGUUGGGGAUGGACUCGCGGCUUAUCAGCUUGUUGGUGGGGUAGUGGCCUACCAAGGCUUUGACGGGUAGCCGGCCUGAGAGGGUUACCGGCCACAUUGGGACUGAGAUACGGCCCAGACUCCUACGGGAGGCAGCAGUGGGGAAUAUUGCACAAUGGGCGGAAGCCUGAUGCAGCAACGCCGCGUGCGGGAAGACGGCCUUCGGGUUGUAAACCGAUUUCGCCUGUAACGAAGCGUGAGUGACGGUAAUGGGUAAAGAAGCACCGGCUAACUACGUG